UACGGGGGGGGGCAAGCGUUGUUCGGAAUUACUGGGCGUAAAGGGCGCGUAGGUGGCCAACUAAGUCAGACGUGAAAUCCCUCGGCUUAACCGGGGAACUGCGUCCGAUACUGGUUGGCUUGAGUUUGGGAGAGGGAUGCAGAAUUCCAGGUGUAGCGGUGAAAUGCGUAGAUAUCUGGAGGAAUACCGGUGGCGAAGGCGGCAUCCUGGACCGACAUUGACGCUGAGGAGCGAAAGCAUGGGGAGCGAACAGG
rnacentral:rRNA from 1 species